UUUAAUGGUAGAACAUGAGCUUCCCAAGCUCAGAGCGCGAGUUCGAUUCUCGUCACCCGCU
rnacentral:tRNA from 1 species